GCUUAACGCGAAGAACCUUACCUGGUCUUGACAUGUCUGGAAUCCCGAAGAGAUUUGGGAGUGCCGCAAGGAACCAGAACACAGGUGCUGCAUGGCUGUCGUCAGCUCGUGUCGUGAGAUGUUGGGUUAAGUCCCGCAACGAGCGCAACCCUUGUCCUUAGUUGCCAUCAUUUAGUUGGGAACUCUAAGGAGACCGCCGGUGACAAACCGGAGGAAGGUGGGGAUGACGUCAAGUCAUCAUGGCCUUUAUGGCCAGGGCUACACACGUGCUACAAUGGCAGGUACAGAGGGAAGCCAACCAGCAAUGGGGAGCCAAUCCCAGAAAAGCCUGUCUUAGUCCGGAUUGGAGUCUGCAACUCGACUCCAUGAAGCUGGAAUCGCUAGU
rnacentral:rRNA from 1 species